UACGUAGGGUGCAAGCGUUAUCCGGAAUUAUUGGGCGUAAAGAGCUCGUAGGCGGUCUGUCGCGUCUGCUGUGAAAUCUGGGGGCUCAACCCCCAGCCUGCAGUGGGUACGGGCAGACUAGAGUGCGGUAGGGGAGAUUGGAACUCCUGGUGUAGCGGUGGAAUGCGCAGAUAUCAGGAAGAACACCGGUGGCGAAGGCGGGUCUCUGGGCCGAUACUGACGCUGAGGAGCGAAAGCGUGGGGAGCGAACAGG
rnacentral:rRNA from 1 species